CUGCUGCCUUCCGUAGGAGUCUGGUCCGUGUCUCAGUACCAGUGUGGGGGACCUUCCUCUCAGAACCCCUACGCAUCGUCGGUUAGGUGGGCCGUUACCCCGCCUACUGCCUAAUGCGCCGCAUGCCCAUCCCUGUCCGGCCGAAGCCUUUCCUGCCUCCGGGAUGCCCCGGUGGCAUGUACGCGGGUUUAGCCCGCCUUUCGGCGGGUUGGUCCCCCUGACAGGGGCAGGUUGCAUACGUGUUACUCACCCGUGCGCCGGUCGCCGGCGGAGAAAG
rnacentral:rRNA from 1 species